AGUUGCCAGCACUUCAGGUGGGCAAUCUAUGGUAAAUGCCGGUGAUCAACCGGAAGAAGGUUGGGAAGACGUCCAAUCCUCNUGCCCCUUAUGAUCUGGGCUACCCACCUNCUACAAUGGCCGGUNCAACAGGCUGUGAAUCCGCCAAGUUGAACCAAUCCUANAAAGCCGGUCUCNAUUCCGAUUGCAAGCUGCNACUCCCCUGCAUUAAAUNCGAAUUGCUAAUUAUCNCGGANCAACAUGCCCCGGUGAAUACGUUCCCGGGUCUUGUGNACACCGCCCGUCUCACCUCGAGAGUUUAUAGUCACCCGAAAUCCGUGGGGUNACCGCNAGGAGCCAGCCGCCGAAGGUGGGAGUGAUGAUUGGGGUUAAGUCUUAAUUAUGUACCGUAUCCGAAGGUGCGGGUGGAUCA
rnacentral:rRNA from 1 species